rnacentral:misc_RNA from 1 species
UUUUUUUUAUUUUAAAUUUGGCCCUCUUUCGCUCUUUACCUUUCGUUUCAUUUCUAUUCUUUCAUUUUCAUUGUUUCUCUUUCGAUUCUUCAUUCUUUUUCUUUAUUCUUUCAGUCUUUUCUUUCUCCAGUUUUUGGCUGUACUUUUGGGUUCUUUUUCUUGAUUUGUUUGUGAUCUUGAAUUUGUUUAAUGGAGGACGAUUAUCAUCAGCGCAAUUUGGGGGCACAUGCACCUUCCCCUGGAUACUAUC